UGAAUCGCGUUAAUGACAUGUUUAUCCCGCUAUUUCCUCUGCCCCAGUCCUUUCCAUCUUCCCAAAUUCCCCAAAUUGCGUCGUCCCCAUAGUCCCGUCCACCAUAUCACCUCCAAGCGAUCCCAGCGCCGCCGAUCUCCCGUGCCGCCACCACCUCCGCCGCCUCCUGGACAAGAGGCCACCACCAUUGAGCACCACUUCGGCGCGCCUGGUUGCCACCGCGACUCUGGCCUUGGAAGGUCGUCCUACUGUCCUGGAUCGGGGAGGAGGCACGAUUUGGAUCUGGGCGGCGACGGCUAAGCAAGGGCACCUGUGCUAUCGAGAGUGUACAUUGCUUCCAGUGUAACAAGAACAGAAAAUAAGAUAGUUAAAGCAUCGUGGGGACCAGGAGGCCAAGCAGUCUGUGGUGUCUCCGUCGUUGUUGCAAAGAAACAUGCCCAAACUUGGAACUUUCUCUAUCGGUUUAGGUUGGACGAGCAAGACAACAUACUGCAGACUGGGAACAAGAGUAUGUUCGUCAUCAUUGAUAUGUGUUAAUACUCUCCUUGAGAUUGAUUCCUUUGCUUUCGCAAAAAAGCGUCAGAUACAUGGCGAGCUUCAAAAUAUCAGGUUGCAAAUACCAUCGUUGCUUUGGACCUUGCCAUGGAUGGAUGGACACUAAAUGACCACAAAUGCCUCUAGAUUAUUAAUAAGCGUGGUUCUACGUUCAGUGCUUUGGGCAUCUGUUUUGUCUCGGGCUGGUUCUACGUACCUGAUUUUGCUUGGAACAGCCACAGGGGCGAGGAUGUUAUAUUGAUGCAGCUUGGUUUGCUAACUAGCAAUGUUUUGUUUCUUAGACGGACAAACUUGUAUCUCAGAACCUUGAUGAAUUGUUUCAUUUGAUCAGCUUAUGUGGAAACUACUAAUUUUCAUUGCCUCUGUACACACACUUGCAUACCCUUUUUCCUGGUGCUUAUUGGCAAUGGCCCAUUCAUAGGCAUGACCUAGAAGAAAAUAAGAUUGAAGAUGUAUUUU